rnacentral:rRNA from 1 species
UACGUAGGGGGCAAGCGUUGUCCGGAAUCAUUGGGCGUAAAGAGCGUGUAGGCGGCCAGAAAAGUCCGCUGUGAAAACUCGAGGCUCAACUUCGAGCUGUCGGUGGAAACUUUCUGGCUAGAGUCCGGAAGAGGCGAGUGGAAUUCCUGGUGUAGCGGUGGAAUGCGCAGAUAUCAGGAGGAACACCAAUAGCGAAGGCAGCUCGCUGGGACGGUACUGACGCUGAGGCGCGAAAGCGUGGGGAGCGAACAGG